CAGGUGGUUGGAGACCAGUCCUGCUCAGCCCACCAGACAGCUCCUCACCAGGAGGCCCUGGAGGGGCUGUGGGCUCCGUCCCUCCCUCCCUGCCUGCUCCUCCUCCAAUCCUCCACUUGGGCAAGGCCUGCCUGGCUCAGCUGCACGCCACCAGAGAACAGUAUGUACCUCAUCCAGACAGAUUCAAGGAUCUCCCUGUCAGACACGUCCUGACCUCAGCUUCUGAAGACUUCUGUUUUUCUUUGCUAGCAGUACUCAUCGUUAGAAAGAUCUAUGGCACAACGUUGGCCUGUGCCACUUAAAAGGAUCCCAAGCACACUUGAAAAUGACUUGUGAAUUACCAUGGACCACCUGAGAUCUGGACCAAGGACUGCUCCAAAUGAGGGUGGAGCAGCACAGAUUAGUAUUAUCAACAUUGUCCUGACAGCUACUCCUGGUUCAUCAUCUGGAAGGACUUCUGGAUUGAUUUAUUCACUGUGUAGACACAAACAAGCCAAAAUCAGAGACACUAAAUCACUCAUUAAAACAAUCUGGGCUAGCACUUUCUAAUAGCAUCAGGAAACAGUAUAAAUAGCUUUGUAUCAAAAUUUAUAGAAACAUGCAUCUCUUGAACUUUGACAUAGAGAAGAUUUGUAUGCUUGGAUGAUUUUCUGUUUAACAGACACUACUAGAUUAAUACAUACUUCUAUUUCAAUUUUAUAUGCUUUUGAAACUUAAUGUGUGAUGUAUGUAAGAUUCUGAAUAGAAGAGUACACAAAGAAUAAAUGUGUAUCUUUUUCUGUUAUCAUUUUAUUGUAAAUAAUAUUCUAGCAAGGACAACUUAGAAGAAAAAAAUGUGGGAGUAAAGCUUAAGCACUUGGUGGAUCACAAGGAUAUGUGCUUCUCUAACAUAACUAAAAUUUUGUCUGUAUUUUGGAAAAAGAACUCAUGAAAUCAUACUAAUUUUUGCCAUUAACUCCAAGUAUCAGUACACCAAUUGUAUUAUAUAAUUUAUACUCUCGAGUACAAACACUAAUUAUUAUAUUUUUCAUUAAAGUGUGCCUGGAUUUGAAUUGUAAAACCACUCUAGUUAGAAUUCUUUCUGUAUCUGAGAUCCCAAGCAGAAUUUAUCAGAAACAAGAACAAAAUGCAUUUUAUGCUAAAAUGUAAAGAUCCACAAAAUAAGUCAUGUUUCAAUAUACGCUGCACAUGGAAGAAAGCUUAAAAUUUGACAAUAGAAAAGAGGAAAUAAGGAAAAAACAUUGUUUUCAAUUUAAUAGCUUCAUUAAGACUUUGUGAUUUUCUCAUUAAGGUUUGGAUGCUGAGAUUAAUGUUAAGAGAAGGUAUGACUGCCUUUUUUUUUUUUUCCUCAAUUUGUAAAAAAAAAAAAUUAAAAAAAAAAAUCUGUAUUUUCAUUAUGAGUGCUGAUCUGUUUAGCCACAUAUGGCAGUAAAAUGCUAAAUUUCUCCCUAAUUCUCAACUGCAAGGAAAUGAUCCUGAAUAGACAGUUUGAUUUAGGAACUCAUCCUUUCUGAACAUCUUACAGUAUACUCAUGGAAGAUUUUUCCUUUUACAGGAUUUAGAAAAAGCUUUGCUUUUUUUUUUCAUGUGCUACCAGUAAGCCUGACUCUCUGCCUUUAUCUUCUGUUGCCUUGCAGACUGACUCAAGUUUUCAAUUUAUCAUUUUUUAACUGUUCGGUCCUGCUUCAAGUGAUGUUGAAACAUUUGGCUUUCCUUCCAGUGCAUGACAUAAAACGGAUGGGCUUUGUUGCUUGGAACAGCUGGCUUCUCUACUUUUCUAGUUGAGCUUUUCCAAAACCACAUUCUUUUCCUUUUAUUUAUUUAUUUGUUGUUGUUGUUGUUGUUUGCUUAUGAGUAAGAUGAGCACAAAGCAAGGAAAAAUGAUGUAAUUAGACGGUUACUUAGAAACUCCAUUAGAAGUUGAAACAUGUUUUGCACUUUUAGGAAAACCAUAUAAACAUAAGAAAUGAUCAGAUACUCUUACUGUCAUAUGAAUUAAGGUCAGAAACUACAUCAUUUACAUAUUUCUUAUUGCAAUGUAAAGCUUCUGCCUGACACCCGAGCUGUCUGACUAGCAGAUCCUGCUGUAUUUGCCAGAGUAUAAUUGGUAAUUUUAAGUUCCAUGUAUUGCCACAUUCAGUUUAUCAUAAGGAAAAGAAAGCAUUUCAUGCAGUGGAAAAGAUUGGAGCAUUUCUCAUUUGAGGAAAAAAGCUCUAAUUCCCUAGGGAUGCAUUACCCUUUGAUCAGAAUGGACACUUCAGCCAGCCAGCUGUCCUUGCUUCCAAGCACACCUGAAACGGUUAUGUGCAAAAGAAGACAAUUCACCAUUUAUGAAACUAGCAAAGUUUUCUUUGCAGUGUGAACUCUCUCGUUUUCUGUGUGUGAGAAGAUUUUUGCAGUAGGUCUGAUGCUGGCCGAACAUAAUUCCUGACAAUGCAAAAGCUGUGGAAGUAUGCCAAUGUGCCCAAGUGAUUUUGGUGCUGCUUGCACUUCCACAGCAGUUUAUAACAUGGGUUUAGGUGUUUGGUGCUAUCUGGAAAGAGCAGGAAGAAGGAAAAAUUGCCUUCAGAUGAAGUCAUGAGGACACUGAAAAAACUGGUAUGGCUUGCCAUCCAGCAACUGCAGUUUAAGUUCUAUUCACAGUCUGACUUAAAGAGUAUAUUAUGGCAAAACUUAUGUAGCUCAAGGUGGAACUACUUUGUAUUUUUCUUUUUAUUUUUUAUUAUCUAUCUAUCUAUUUAUUUAUUUACAUCUGCAUAUGUUAUAAUCAAGGCAAUACGGGGCCUCCUAUUCUCCAUCUGAAAACAAUGAUAUCCCAUUUAAGUAGUGUUGCUUUCUUCCAUUUUAGGUUUCUUCACUAGCUAAACAACUUCAGCUAGUGUUAACAGGAACUUAUCUUAUCCUGCUUGGAAGUGAUGACAGAUAUUCUUCAGCUAUGCUGUUGUUUGUUCUGCUGUGUCACUGCUUUUGCAGUUUCAACAGAAAUUUUUACCAAGUAUGUGAAAGCUAAGCCACUAAAAAGCUGAGCACUGACUGGAAAUGUAACAAAAUAAAUGAAUAAAUAAAUAGAGUGAAGCAGAGUUCACGAGGACAAACAAUAAAGUAAGCAAUAUUUCUUCCUGA